UCGAUACUAGACCCAACGAACCCAGAAAAUUUCACCACCUUAAGGCACUGAUGAGGACAUUUAUUAACCUUCUGCAAAUUCCUCAGACAUGGCACUCGUGCCCAUCUUAGCUGCACAAAGACACAAACAAUAGCUUAUCAAUCUACCUUAGACACGUUAAUUCCACAUAUACAAGUUUUUCAAAAACCACAGAAAAGCAAUACAACUUUUAGAAGUUUGUGUGCAUAAACAUGAAUCAACAAAAACCUUUCUGAAACCAUUAAAUAAACUUCCCAACUUUAAAUUGUAAGACAUGCUGAAAAUAAAUUUACAUCCAAUGUACAUCUAUGCAAGAAAGGAGACCGCUCUAUCAAUUUAGUCAAAUUAAGGAGGCUUUGCCGAUCACUUGCGACAACAUUCAAUGUUAAGUCCUUGAGACAAGUUAAUUCUGGAAAUUCUGGGUGCCUCACCAUUGCACUCUGACAGAUGAAAAGCAAAUUUUGAAAAUAAAGUCUAUAUAUAUAUACAUAAAAUAAUAAUAAUAAAUACUGAAUUAUUUCAUAUACUGACCAUAUUCAGAUUCAUGUCCAAGUUGAGAUUGAGAGUCACCAGCUGAGGAAGACAACUUUUAACCGGAAGAAAAGUUGGAACUAUAGACCUAGUACUUUCUGCAAGUGAUACAUUUACAAGUUCACCGGUUAUGUUUACAAAUGACAAGGAGAGGUGUUUAAGGGACUUGAUGCAGGAAACGCCGAAAGGGCUUCUAAAUGGCUUAUCUGGAAAGAUAUAACUGGCAGCUGAGGAAUACAACUUUUAACCGAAAGAAAAGGUGCAAUUAUGGACCUAGUACUUUCUGCAAGAGAUACAUUAACAAGCAAGGGUGCAUGCCUCAAACGAAUACUGUCACAGAAACCCAACAUUCCCUUAUAAAUAAAUGAUACGAGAUUAGGAGCCCAAAUCUCAACUAAUCCUAAAGACGUACACUCACUUAUUUGUAGGAAAUUCAACCGGAGUGAUGAACCAGCAACUUUCAAAUUUACUAAUUGAUCUGAGCAAGAAAUGCAGAGAUGCUCAAGGAGUUCACAGUAGGAUAGAAAGUGCUAAACAAGUUCGCCGGUUAUAUUUACAAAGGACAAAGAGAGGUGUUUAAGGGACUUGAUGCAGGAAAUACCAAAAGGGCUUCUAAAUGGCUUAUCUGGAAAGAUAUAACUGGGAGAAGAAAAACGAGACCGUCUGCCUGCUUCCAAAUCUAUCUCAAGGCCUUGAACUCUCCUCCACAUUGCAAAUUCAAUCCAAUUGUCGAUUUCAGAACUACUAGGACUGUAAUCGAGUGAGGAAGAACGAAUUUUGAAUUCAUCUAAGGAUGGACCCUGGUGCAAUUGCAAGACUUGAUUCACCCAAUUGUAACUAGAUGUUGUUUUCACUCGUUGCCUUCUUUUCUUCUGUGGUUUGGAUAAUGCAUCUAUAUCAUCGAAGUUGAGACAAGUAAUCUGUUUCCACACACAGAUCCACCUCUUAGAGAGGACACGAGUUCUUGCUGCUUCCCUGAUACCCAAUAAGGAAAGAAUGCUAAUUAGAAUGACAUCUGGUAGCUGACUGAUCUGAUCCUCCUCCGAAUAAUUAUCUUCCUUAUCACCCAAAUUGAUUGGAAUCUUUUGUCGUUUCCCAUAUGUCCAUCCAGAAUGCUUAGCCUUUCUUUUCGGCAUGGAAGUUAGAACACCCUUGUUAUUAAUUUACUCUCUUCUUAAAUAUUACAAUGUAAUGAAAUAAGCUGCAGAAGUGGAGCGAACCGAUUGUUACUAAAACCAACUAUCAAACACAUGAAAAGAAGCGAACAUCUAUAAUAAACGAAGGCGGCGAAAAAGUUGGGUUCGUGAAUACAAAUAAUCUAAGCUAGUGACUCUAGCAGUGAAACCUUAAAACAAAGAAAAGAAGACAAGGCUGCAGAUUAAAAGCUGGUGCUGGUGUUUUUCAUUCACAACAACGUUUAUGAAAUCACACUUGUAUUUGAUUCCGCGUAAAUAAAAAGCAGGGAGGAAGCCAAUAGCUGAUUAAAAGGCCCUGCUUUUCAUUCAAAACUUUGCAAUCUAGAAUUACCAAAGCAGCUACCCUAUUAUUUAUAGGCAGCAAACCGACUAAAAUCCACCAAAUCCAAAUCCAAAUCCAAACCCAAGUCCAACUGGGAAACUACAUUCCUAUUUCCCUCUUUUUAAAGGAGAAGCGGAACCUUUUCUACGUAUUUGGUACAACUACAACAUCUAUAGACAAUUUUGGAUGUAAGCCAUGGAACAUAAUUGCGCCUUUGAAAGAGUAAAUCUGACACUGAUAGGUAUUUUGAUUUCAAAAGCUGGCGAAUUUGAUUGAAAAUCGUCAUGUAACUCAAAACUCCAAACUUAUAACAGGAAAUGAAGUUACGCAAAUCGAAAGGGAAGAACUUACUUAUUUGAGGGGUGGACAGCCUCGGCAUAUCUGCAACGCCUCUAGCCGCGAAGGGAAAUGGGAAAUGGGGAAAUGGGAAAGUCAUCAACAUGGUUUACCCUGUCCCCCAGAUGGGAUCUCUGUUUUGAGCUGGCUUUCUUUACUGUUAUUUGGUUGGGGUCGAGCCAGUUUACUAAACUCCGACGGAGCCUUAGAUUUGUCUAGACUCUAGCCCUUAGUGUAAUUGGUUUCUGUCUGUGUUCUUGCCGACUCUGCCAGCUGUGUUGUAUUUGUUUCCCUUCUGGGCUGUUUUAAAUACAACCACCUCUUUCAGAACUGAAAAAUAAAAUAAAAACGACCAACUCUCUGGCGGGUUUCACCUUGAUUUUUGUUUGGAGGGGUAAAAUGGGAAUUUCAAACGUAAGUUGGGUCUAAAAUUAAAUGGACCCAACUCGGUCCGGUCCAUUUAGUAAUUCCUACACAAAACUUACAAGUAGAGGCCCGCCCAAGAAGGCUUAAAAAAAACAAAGGCCUAGCCGGUCGGCGAGAAACACAUGAAGGGCUCGUUUGGGAAUGCUUCUUUAUGAAGCGCUUAUGUAAGUAGCGCUUAUGCCAGUAGCACUUAUGACAUAAGGGCUUCUACAAAGAAGAAGUUUGUUGUUUGGAUGUUACAUUUAAAAGUGCUUUCCCAAAAUAUUAUAAUAAAUAUAGGAAAUAAAAAUUAACAGGAUUCCAAAAUAAAAACACAGCUUUUAAAAGUUGUGAAAUGUAAAGAUAGUGAUGGAUUAAUAGAAGCUUAAAGGUUUCCAUGGGUGUUUUGGCGUCUGUUGGCCUUUUCACGGGUAGUGUUUUGGUUUUAAUAGGAGAGAAAAAGUGAGGAAAAAAAAAGAAGAAAGGAAGGGUAUCUUGGCAUUUAAAAAAAAUUAAAUAUAGGUAUUUUCGGCAUUUUAAAAGUUUCAUUAAAGGGAGCCAAGUGCUUCCCUUGUUUUUGUCCUGCAACGCUUUUAAGAAGAAGCACAUCUCAAGUGCUUCUUCUAAAACCACUCCACGUGCUUUUGGAUCUCACCCAAAAAGCUUUUGCAAUUUUUGCCAAACACCAUUUUUAAAAGACAGAAGCGCUUUUACUCAUUUAGAAGCACUUUUCGCUGCUCCAAAAGCACUCCCAAACGAGCUCGAAUACUAAGAAACUAGCUUCUUCGCAUGCGCUUCUACGUCUGAGAGAGGCUUUUAAAAAAAAAAAUAAAAGAAUUAAAAAUAAUAAUAGGUAGUUGUGUUCCAUAAAAAUAUGACAUAUUAUCUAAUUUUGUUUUAAUAUGAAAAAAAAUGAAUUUACCAUAUUAUCCUCAUUUAAUUAAUACUUUCAAUUCUUAAUGUUUGAAUUAACCAAAGACAAUUUCUCUGCUAAUUUUUUUUAAAAAAAAUUUCAAAGGGUGAAAUUGGAGUGUCAAAUCUAGCUAGAACAAAAAGUUUAAUUUCUUAUAAAAAUAAUACACAUGGCAAAUUUUGUGUAAGAACCCAAACCAAAAUAUCUAAAAAUUAAGAUUUCUUUAUUCCAACCAAAAGACGAUUUUGCCCUCGCAUAUUUUAAUGGGGGAAAUUUGACUUUUUGAUCGAGAAAGAAUUUGGGAAUUCCGCUUGCACCGUUGCGUAGAGCACGGCAAAACGAGUCCGUAGACACGGAGUAGACCCGAAUCGGAGUUCUAACGAAGAAAAUACGAUCAAAAUAUCGCGAAGGGCAAAACGGUAAUUUGGAAAAAAGUCAGAUUUUUAUCCCUUUCUCUCUCUCCUCCCCUCAGCUUUCUCUCUCUUCUCUCUCUCUCUCUCUCCCUCGCGCGAGCUGUCGCCAGCUCUCCCCUUCCGAUCAACGCAGCGGCCACCACAGGGCACGCCGAUCUACGGCGUUGGUACCUUCGGCUUCGUCUCGCCGCUGCCGUCACGCCACGACCAGUCUCCGCCCACGGGACGACCGGAGCUUGCCGGAAACUGGGAGAGAACCGCCGGAUUUCACCCGAUUUUCAGUCCCUUCGUUCUCCCUCGUUUCUCAACCAAAUCAAUCGAGUGAGGUAUGGAUUUUCACCUAUUUUUCGUGCUCUAACUGAUGGUUGGCUGGGUUUAGAUCGAUUUCACCUCUAGGUUGCUCAAUUUUCGAUUUGAAAAUCGGCCGAACUUUGGCCGCCGUGAUCGGCCACUUUUUGGGGUAUGUCCAAGAACAAAAAUGACUCCAAAUGGGGUGUUUUACCUAGGAUAGGAGUUUGGGGUCUUGGUUCCGAGAUUUUUCGACGAACCCUAAUCGCUUUGGACACCCGAUCUGCCCGCGCGUGUGGCGGCGCGUGGGCGAGGGUGGUGGCAUGACUCUGGACAGUUUUGAGGUCCUCGUGCCGUCAUGAGCAAGUAGGAUUUCGCGGAUCUCGAUUCGGAGUCCGUUUGAGCCCCAAACGGAUUUUCCAUAUCGCGCGAUCCUUGGGUGCAGUGUCGUUAAAUCGUUGGAUCGCGCUGAAUUUUGGAUAUGUCGGUCUAGGUGAUUUCAGGAUCGCGUAGGAUUCGACGGAUUGCGAAUCGGAGUCCCGGAUACUCCGAAAUCGCGAAUCCUGGGGCUAGGGUUUGGAUUUUAAGCGAUAAUGCGAUUUUGGCUAAUCCGACCGUCCGUUUCGGACCGAAUUCGCGGAACAUGGUUCCCUCUCUAUGAGGAACCUUCAGGGAAGCCCAGAUUGGCCAUCGGAGAUCGUGGACCCCACGGGUCCCGGGUCGGCCGAUCUGUCAGUUUAUCGCUUAGCUGAGCGUCGGACCUUCCAAAACUGGUCCAAGUGUCUGAAAGGGAUAAUGUGGGCAUAAGAGUAACUUGAAAUGAAAUGCACGUAUUUCUAGGAGCCGGGGGCAGGGUGUUUAAUUUAAAUUCUUUUUAUCCAGCAGUUUAUUAAUUUAUUAUUCUUGGAUAAUCAGGCACCAGGAGUCCAGCUAACCCACAUGAGGGACCUUCGAAGGGUCCAGCUAGCUCGGACCAGCAGUGAGUGGACUUUUCUUUCGUAAAAGAUUUUAUAAUUAUACUUUCUAUUUGAUCUUGAAUAAAUGAUAUAACAUGAAUUUUAUUGUGAAAUAUCUUUAUUUCUAUAAAAAAUUAGCCGAAUAAACAGAUUUGAGAUUCUUGAUACAGAAAUUUGUAAUUUAACUCAGAUUUACCAGAGUAUAGAGGGUAUCAUAUUUUAUCAGAGAUAGUUGUUAUAGACCACCAUGUACCCACCCUCUAUUUGGUGAUUAUCCAGAGUUGGACCGAUGUCUACGGACAUCCAGUCCGAUUUCAGUUUAUGUCAGUGCACUUGACUUUGCCUCACGAUUUCCGGGGACGCUCGGACCGUGAGUGCCAGAAUUUGCGGCUCGGCAGACUUGGUGUCCCGAGACCUGCCAGGAUUGCGGCUCGGCUGACUCUGUGUCCCCGAGACCUGCCAGGAUUGCAGAUCAGGCUGACUACGGUCCCCUGCAUCCUGCCUGAGCGACUCGAGCUGACUUGGUGUCAUCGAGGACCUGUCGGCGGAUCAGGCUGAUCAUAGUCCCCUGAUUUCGCCAGUUUGCGGCUCGGGUAGCCUGUGUGACGCCCGAGACCUGCCAGGGAAUUGACGGCUAUCACAUGGGUACAAUUAGGUGGCAGUUUUAAAGGAUUCUUUUUAAACCUUUUUAGUGCAGUUAUUGUUUCACUCAUUUCUAUCAGUAUGUUCGAUACUCAAACAUGUGUUAUACUGAUAUAUCUUUGUUUAGUAUGUGAACAUUUAUAUAGUUAUGUUUAUCUAUGUUUAAAUUAAAUGUCUCGAGUUUGAUUAUGAUCAAAUCAUAGCUUUUAUAUCCCUAUGUUUUUCAAACGGGGGUUAUUAUGUUCUAAAUUGUUUUCACGAACAUUAUUUUUGUCCACUCACCAUUUUAACCUUGUUUUUCGCCCCCAGGCCGUAGAAGAAGGAAGGAAACCACCCGGGCCAUCAUCUUAGCUCCCGCCCCACCACCGAAGCGUAGGAUCUCGUUGUAACUUUUCUUAGUUCUGUAAAUUUGUAUAGAAAGGCUCUGAUAUCUUGUUGAACAUGAGAAACUGGAGUUGAGAUUUGUUGGUUGUAUUAAUCUGGCGGUUGGUGUAUUAUUUGAGACUGUUUGAUAGGUGGAAGAUUUUGGGUUUGGUCAAAAUACAGGGGAGACUCUGCCGAAUUUUCAGCAGAAGUCUGAGGGAAAUUUUAAAAGAAAUUGAAAAAGGAAAGGGUAAAAAGGUCAUUUGUGCCCGACAUUCGCCAGGUGUCGGACACGCACAGGAUUCGGCUCAGAUUCCAAAGAGGAAAUUGGGUCGGGUCCUGUCAUUUUGAGUAGAAGUAUCACCAGCUGACGUGAUGAUAUCGUACUAUUCUAUAAUUUUUCCAGCUGGAGGGGGAGUAUUAACUAGAAGAAAUAUGAAUUCCUUAAUUAUAGGAUCUUAUAAAUUAGAGAUUGUAAUUUACUUUCUGUACAAGACUUACCUAGAAUGGCUUAGCUAUUAAUUGUAUAAGAAUUACAUCCUAUUGUAGAUUUUAAGAUCAAAUAACAUAGAGAUGUUGUAAAGUCAACAAUGUGGAUCCCAAAAUGGCAAGCCCCACUACCCAAUUGAUUGAAGAAUAUUAAUGAUGUUUGUCUGCCAAUUAUUCGAGCGAAGCCAAAUACCUGUGAAGUGAACAGCCAAUGUCUUUGGCUUAUAAAUAGAUACCUCCAUCAGGAGAAGAGGGCGCUUAGAGAAGAGGAAGAGAAGGAAGAAAGAACGUGAGUGAGUGGAGAGGAAAGAUAGCAGAGAGAAAUUCUCAAAGAGAGAAAAUUCAGUGAGCCACACAUAUUGUAAACACUAAAGUUGUAGCCCUAUUAUUUUAUAUAGUAGAAAAGUUACUACUGCUGCUCCGAGGACGUAGGCAUAACCGAACCUCGUUAAAUGUUGUGUCUCAUCUACUUUACGUGCAGCUCAAUAUUCACACAUAUUCCAGUUCAUUUUAUAACAAGAGAGAUAUUCUCCCUAGCAAUCUCCUUAUUUUUCUAACAGUAACAAACAACUUGGGAUUCCCCACCCCUUUUUUUCCGCCUAGCUUCAUUCAGGGCCUUUUUAAACUUUAUUUUCCUCUUCCAUACUAUUUAGAUCUUUUCCCCUUCACCCGUCUCAUGGCCCGACAAAGUGGUGACUGACUGGAUUAAAUAUACAGUGAAGAUUCCUCCCCUUGUUUCUUCUACGACAAAGUGGUGUCUAGAUUAACAGCUUCCUCUAAACUGGAAUCAACACCAAUACGAUGUCAGCUUUGCAUAUAGGGCUUCUGUACAUAUUGAUAUACGGAAUUGUUAUUUAUUUCCUGAAUAGAAAAAUGGGCUGAAAAAAUCAUAACUAUACUUAACAAUGUUGCUUUUGCUAAUUCGAAUUGAAGGGUGAUAUAAAAUCGGUCUAUUUCCGGCAUCAUACCCAUAGUUAGCGCAUUCAUCAUAGUUAGAAGCUCUAGCUCCGUAUCAAAGUCACGGUCGUCACUAUCAUCAAGUACAUAUCCCGUGUACAUCUAAGUACUGCUGUUCUUAAAUCUAGCUGCCUAGAACUCCAACAGAAACACACAAUGUCCCAUGAACGUAAUGAACCAAAACAAGAUCCAUACAAAAAGUCAUAGGCCAAAGAGUAGCUAAGCAGCUAGAUUUAAGAACUUAUAAUAGUGAAGAUUUCCACGUCUUCUCCAACAAUCGUUGGUCAUCACGACCAUACAUUAUUUCAAUUUCCGAAUAUGUCAGAAAUAAAUAGUAGCAAAUUACAUGCUGCAAGAAAGUCUGUAGCAAAGAGGACUAAACAAGUGAAAUCACACAACAAUUAACUCAGCUCCUGGAGGUAGUUUUUCUCCAAUCUGCAAGGCCCGCUUUCUUGUUGCCCUCAUUUUUUUCUGGGUUGUAACAAAUUCAGACAAUGGAGUGGAUUCUUCAACGACAACCUUUUUGAGAUCGAUGAUAAACGUCUCAAGCGCAACGGCAUUCUCAGUGAAGUACGUGGCAAGCUCAGUGUCGAUAAUAGACCCAACGAACCCAGAAAAUUUCACCACCUUAAGGCACUGAUGAGGACAUUUAUUAACCUUCUGCAUAUUCCUCUGACACGAGUCACGUACCCAUCUUAACUGCACGAGGACAUAACAAAAGCUUACGAAUCUACCUUGGAAAGUUGAUUCCACAUAAAUCAAUUACAAUUCACAGUUCUCAAACCAUUAUAUAAACUUCCCAACUAUUAAAAUUUUAAGAUAUACUGAAAAUAAAUUUACCUUCAAUGUAAAUCUAUGCAAGAAAGGUGACCGCUCUAUCAGUUUAGUCAAAGCAAGGAGGCUUAGCCGAUCAGUUGCGAUAACACUCAACGAUAAGUCCUUGAGACAAGUAAAUUCUGGAAAUUCUGGGAGCCACACCCCUCCUCUCUGAAAGAUGAAAAGUUAAAGUCAAAAUUUGGAAUAUAUAUAUAUAUAUAUAUAUAUAUAUGUACAUAAAUAAACAUUGAAUUAUUUCAUAUACCGACCGAAUUCAGAUUCAUGUGCAUGUUGAGAGUCACCAGCUGAGGAAUGCAACUUUUAACCGAAAGAAAAGGUUCAAUUAUAGACCUAGUACUUUCUGCAAGAGAUACAUUAACAAGCAAGGGUGCAUGCCUCAAUCGAAUACUGUCACAAUAACCCAACAUUCCCUUAUAAAUAAAUGACACGAGAUUAGGAGCCCAAAUCUCAACUAAUCCUAAAGACGUACACUCACUUAUUUGUAGGAACUUCAACCGGAGUGAUGAACCAGCAACUUUCAAUUUUACUAAUUGAUCUGAGCAAGAAAUGCAGAGAUGCUCAAGGAGUUCACAGUAGGAUAGAAAGUGCUCAACAAGUUCGCCGGUUAUAUUUACAAAGGACAAAGAGAGGUGUUUAAGGGACUUGAUGCAGGAAAUACCAAAAGGGCUUCUAAAUGGCUUAUCUGGAAAGAUAUAACUGGGAGAAGAAAAACGAGACCGUCUGCCUGCUUCCAAAUCUAUCUCAAGGCCUUGAACUCUCCUCCACAUUGCAAAUUCAAUCCAAUUGUCGAUUUCAGAACUACUAGGACUGCAAUUGAGUGAGGAAGAACGAAUUUUGAAUUCAUCUAAGGAUGGACCAUGGUGCAAUUGCAAGACUUGAUUCACCCAAUUGUAACUAGAUGUUGUUUUCACUCGUUGCCUUCUUUUCUUCUGUGGUUUGGAUAAUGCAUCUAUAUCAUCGAAGUUGAGACAUGUAAUCUGUUUCCACACAUAGAUCCACCUCUUAGAGAGGACACAAGUUCUUGCUGCAUCCCUAAUACCCAAUAGGGAAAGAAUGCUGAUUAGAAUGACAUCCGGUAGCUGACUGAUCUGAUCCUCCUCCGAAUAAUUCUCUUCCUUAUCAACCAAAUUGAUUGGAAUCUUUUGUCGUUUCCCAUAUGUCCAUCCAGAAUGCUUAGCCUUUCUUUUCGGCAUGGAAGUUGGAACACCCUUGUUAUUAAUUUACUUUCUUCUUAAAUAUUACAAUGUAAUGAAAUAAGCUGCAGAAGUGGAGCAAACCGAUUAUUACUAAAACCAACUAUCAAACAGAUGAAAAGAAGCGAUCAUCUAUAAUAAACGAAGAAGGCGAAAAAGUUGGGUUCGUGAAUACAAGUAAUCUAAGCAACCUUAAAAACAAAGAAAAGAAGACAAGACUGCAGAUGAAAAGCUGGUGCUGGUGUUUUUCAUUCACAACAACGUUUAUAAAAUCACACUUGUAUUUGAUUCUGCGUAAAUAAAAAAGCAGGGAGGGAGCCAAUAGCUGAUUUAAAAGCCCCUGCUUUUCAUUCAAAAUUUUGCAAUCUAGAAUUACUAAAGCAGCUACCCUAUUAUUUAUAGGCAGCAAACCGACUAAAAUCCACCAAAUCCAAAUCCAAGUCCAACUGGGAAACUACAUUUCUAUUUCCCUCUUUUUGAAGGAGAAGCGGAACCUUUUCUACUUAUUUGGUACAACUACAACAUCUAAAGAAAAUUUUGGAUGUAAGCCAUGAAACAUAAUUGCGCCUUUGAAAGAGUAAAUCUGACACUGAUAGGUAUUUUGAUUUCAAAUACAAAAAAGCUGGCGAAUUUGAUUGAAAAUCGUCAUGUAACUCAAAAUUCCAAACUUACAACAGGAAAUGAAGUUACGCAAAUCGAAAGGGAAAAACUUACUUAUUUGAGGGGUGGACAGCCGCGGCAUAUCUGCAACGCCAACCUCUAGCCGCGAAGGGAAAUGGGAAAUGGGAAAUGGGGAAAUGGGAAAGACAUCAACGGCUCCGAAGACCAACUUAUGUGGCUGUUUGGAGGGAUAAAAGGGGAAUUUCAAACGUGUUGGGUCUAAAAUUAAAUAGACCCAACUCUUACACACGAGAUCGGUCCGGUCCGUUUAUGAAACACAAAAAGUAGAGGCCCGCCCAAGAAGUAAAAAAAGAAACAAAGGCCUAGUGGGUCAGCCAGAAACACAUGAAUACUAAAAAAAGAAAGUUAAAAAAAGGCCUAUCACAAUGAAAGACUAUGUCAGCCACACUCAUAACCUAACCUAACCUAAUCAUGAUGUUUGGGUAUAUAGAUACCAGUCAUUCUCAUUUGUCAGCCAAACUCAAUCUAUCUCAAACUCGAAAUCCAAGUAGAGAAACAAACAGAUCUCUCAACUUUCAGCUCCUCGAUCGACCAUGCCGUCGCCCUCUGUGACAAGAUCUCAUGUUCUCUGUAGCCCUCUGUGAAUUACGGAAGGCUCUGGAGACCAUGAGAUCUGAUCACAGGCAUCAGGGAAGAAGACUGGUUAUGAGGUCCAGUCACCCCAGAAGAAGACUUGCGAUAAAUCCAAAGAGCAGAAGAACCAUGGCCUGUGAACGGCUUGAGAAGCCAGCCAGCACCACCUUUGGUGACGGGGGUCAUGAAACGCAGUGUCUUGUCUUGAUAGCUUAGAUUCAAGGGCCAAGGAUGAGUUAGGUGGUGAUGAUCGGCAUCAUCAAGGGGUGCAAUCAUCCAUUCUUUUUUUUCGAUUUUUUCUAGAAUAAUACAUUUUUGUUUUGUCUUUAAUUUUUUGUAUUUUUUUUUUUUUUUGCUGGUAUUUUUGGCAAAUACUUAAAGUAUAUAAUAUUUAUUUAUUUUCAGUGAGCUUGGGCUAGAGCGUUUCCAUUUUUUGUUCCAUUUUGGGCCUUUUGUUUUCUGUUUAAUCUGGGCUGAUUCUGGUCAGAUUGUCUUCAUGGACCUGUAAUGGGUUUUUUCUUUCUCUUUUCCGGACCAAGAGUUUUAUAAAUUUCUGAAAAACAAUAAACGUUUUCUCCCUCCGUUUUAUGUCCCUAUUGUAUCAUUUUGUAUUAAUUUUUAUUAUUCAAAACAUCAACACACAAGAAUAUACAAAAAUCAUUUUGUAAUGUUUUUGUUUUCUCAUAAUGUAUAUGUAAUUUAACAACGACCGUAUCAUUUUCUUAAUGAUCAUAUUAACAUACCAAGUUGAUAACUAACUAAUCCAGUCUGUUAAUGAACGCGCGCGAUAAUAUUAGCUCCGCAGCUUUGAGAAACCCUAACCACACUUUCUUCGGAGAAACCUAACCAGCUCUGGUCUCGCACUUCUUUGGAGAAACCCUGACCACACUUUCUUUGGAGAAACCUAACCUGCUCUGGUCUCACACCUCUUUGGGGAAACCCUAACCUCCUCUAGUCUCACACUCUCUUUGGAGAAGCUGGAGCUUCUUUCUCCAGGUACCUUCCUAUUUGAUCAAUUUUUACAUCUGAUUCUGAACAUUUCAACUUGCCUUAUAGCUAAUGUAUCAUGUUGUGAAGUAUUUAUUUAGCUAGUAUAUUUAUUGAUUUUCAGAUUUGGGCUCCUAAACCCUAGUUCCCUUUUUCUUCUUUUGGGCAGCACAAUUUUACUUAUGCGGAGGUUAAUGUUUUCUGUAACAUGCUUUAUUAUUGUUGUGGCCUUUAACCAACUUUGGAGCAUUAAGUGGGCCUUGCUGCAAGCCUUUAAGAAUUUGGCAAUGACCAUUAUUUUUACAGAUUUAAGUGAGUUUGGAUUGUCACCGGUUGAUCAAUUAUGCUGACAAGGGGUGAAUUCCAUCAUUAGCCCAUUUUUGUUUGCUAUCCUAUUUGUCCUGAAACUAUUUUGAUCAACCAUGAAUUUGGCAAUGACCAUUAUUUUUACAGAUUUAAGCGAGUUUGGAUUGUCCCUGGUUGAUCGAUUAUGCUCACAACAAGGGGUGAAUUCCAUUGUUAGCCCACUUUUGUUUGCUAUGCUAUGUGUCUGUGAAGAAACUAUUUUGAUCAACUUUGAGAUUUGUUGAAAAUUUUGUAUUUCUUGUAGUGCAGUUUGCCACAUUUAUAGUCAAUCAUGCUCUCUCUCUCUCUCUCUCUCUCUCUCUCUCUCUCUCUCUCUCUCACUCUCACACAUACACACAGACCAAAUUUGAUUCACUUGCCAAAUCUUAUAACGUUGGGAGAUUUGGAAUUUGGUUUUUAGCAUCAUCCUUCCACCAAUUCAAUGCUCUAUGAGAAGUCAUGUUAAAUGAGCCUUGGAGAAAGCCUUCAUGAACUUAAGUUUAUAGGUUUUUUUGGCUAUUCAUUUUAAUAGAUUACUUCAUUUGUAUUUUUGAAUUGUUCAAGUUUUCUCUAACCAUUCUUGUUUCAUGGUUGCUGAUGUUGUUGAACACUUCAUUCUCAAAAUUGAUAAGUAUAUAGAUUAACACAACAUAUGCUUACAUUCAAUUCCAAGAAAGGACUUUGGUUGAUGUAUUUUUUCUUGGUGAAGAAUAAAGUAGAUACUGUGGAACUUGCUUGGACUCUUGGAUAGAAAUUUACAGCACCUAGUAUCAGCUGACUUGUUAUCAUGUUGCAUCCUGUCCUCGAUAUAAACACAUUUGUAUGUGCUAUGCAGUUGGCUAACUGGUCUCGCACCUCUUUGGAGAAACCCUGACCACACUUUCUUUGGAGAAACCUAACCUGCUUUGGUCUCACACCUCUUUGGGGAAACCCUAACCUCCUCAGGUCUCACACUCUCAUUGGAGAAACUGGAGCUUCUUUCUCUAGGUACUUUCCUAUUUGAUAAAUUUUUACAUUUGAUUCUAAACAUUUCAACUUGCCUUCUAGCUAAUGUUUCAAGUUGUGAAGUAUUUAUUUAGCUAGUAUAUUUAUUGAUUUUCAGAUUUGGGCUCCUAAAUCCUAGUUCCCUUCUUCUUUUGGUUGUUUCUUUCUUUUGGUUCAAUUUUUUGCAUUUCUGAGUUUUUUUUUUUCUCACUAGUCUCACAAAAUGCCCGGAUUUAAAUAAAGUAUGUUCUUUUACUUUCUCUGUCAUUGCAUUUUGAGCAAAGCAUACAUAUUUGGGAGUAUUUUUGUGUGAAUUUGUUGGUAUUUUUGCUGACCUCCCUACCUGUGUUCCUUGUGUAAACGUUUUCUUUGGUAACUGUUAGUUGUUAAAAUAUUUAUUUAGCUAGUUGAUUUAUUGGUUUACAUUGCUCAUUUGUCUUUCUCCACUUUUUUCUAUCACAAUUUUAUACGGUUUAUUUAGCUAGUCAGUUUAUAAUAUUGCUCAUGUAUUAUGACUUAUCUCAUUUAUAAUUAGUUAUUUGAUUUAGUUUUGUGGUUUUUUUCAUGUGGUUUUGUAUUUAUUUAGCUAAUGUAGUUACCUUCUUCUUCUUUUGGAUGUUUCUUUCUUUUGGUUUAAGCUCUAGUUCAAUUUUUUGCUUUUCUGAUAUUUUUUUUCUCACUAGUCUCACAAAAAUGCACGGAUUUAAAUAUACUUUUCGUUUUCUUUGGUAACUGUUACUUGAUAAAGUAUUUAUUUAGCUAAUUGAUUUAUUGGUUUACAUUGCUCAUUUGUCUUUCUCCACUUUUUUCUAUCACAAUUUUAUAUGGUUUAUUUAGUUAGUCAGUUUAUAAUAUUGAUCAUGUAGUGUGACUUAUCUCAUUUAUAAUUAGCUAUUUGAUUUAGUUUUGUGGUUUUUUUCAUGUGGUUUUUUAUUUAUUUAGCUAAUGUUUAGCUGACACUAGUUCAAUUUUUUGCAUUUCUGAGUUUUUUUUUCUCACUAGUCUCGCAAAAUGCACGGAUUUAAAUAGACUAUAUUCUUUUACUUUCUCUGUCAUUACUUUCGAGCAAAGCAUACAUAUCUGGGAGUAUAUUUUGUGUGAAUUUGUUGGUAUUUAUUGCUGGCCUCCCUACUUGUGUUGCUUGCGUAAACGUUUUCUUCGAUAACUGUUACUUGUUAAAGUAUUUAUUUAGCUAGUUGAUUUAUUGGUUUACAUUGCUCAUUUGUCUUUUUCCACUUUUUUCUAUCACAAAUUUAUACGGUUUAUUUAGCUAGUCAGUUUAUAUUGCUCAUGUAUUAUGACUUAUCUUAUUUAUAAUUAGCUAUUUGAUUUAGUUUUGUGGUUUUGUAUUUAUUUAGCUAAUGUUUCACUGACCGCACUUCCCUUCUGCUCCUUUUGGUUGUUUCUUUCUUUUGGUUUAAGCUCUAGUUCAAUUUUUUGCAUUUCUGAGUUUUUUUUCUCACUAGUCUCACAAAAUGCACGGAUUAAAAUAAACUAUGUUCUUUUACUUUCUCUGUCAUUACUUUUGAGCAAGGGAUACAUAUUUGGGAGUAUUUUUGUGUGAAUUUGUUGGUAUUUAUUGCUGGCCUGGCCUCCCUACUUGUGUGGCUUGCGUAAACGUUUUCUUUGAUAACUGUUACUUGUUAAAGUGUUUACUUAGCUAGUUGAUUUAUUGGUUUACAUUGCUCAUUUGUCUUUCUCCGCUUUUUUCUAUCACAAUUUUAUACAGGUUAUUUAGCUAGUCAGUUUAUAAUAUUGCUCAUGUAUUAUGACUCAUCUCAUUUAUAAUUAGCUAUUUGAUUUAGUUUUGUGGUUUUUUUCGUGUGGUUUUGUAUUUAUUUAGCUAAUGUUUCACUGACACUAGUUCAAUUUUUUGCAUUUCUGGUUUUUUUUUCUCACUAGUCUCACAAAAUGCACGGAUUUAAUAUAAACUAUGUUCUUUUACUUUCUCUGUCAUUACUUUCAAGCAAAGCAUACAUAUCUGGGAGUAGUGUGAAAUUUGUUGGUAUUUAUUGCUGGCCUCCCUACUUGUGUUGCUUGCCUAAACGUUUUCUUUGAUAACUGUUACUUGUUAAAGUAUUUAUUUAGCUAGUUGAUAUAUUGGUUUACAUUGCUCAUUUGUCUUUCUCCACUUUUUUCUAUCACAAAUUUAUACGGUUUAUUUAGCUAGUCUGUUUAUAUUGCUCAUGUAUUAUGACUUAUCUCAUUUAUAAUUAGCUAUUUGAUUUAGUUUAGUGGUUUUGUAUUUAUUUAGCUAAUGUUUCACUGGCCGUAGUUCCCUCCUCCUCCUUUUGGUUGUUCCUUUCUUUUGGUUUAAGCUCUAGUUCAAUUUUUUGCAUUUCUGAGUUUUUUUUCUCACUAGUCUCACAAAAUGCACGGAUUUAAAUAAACUAUGUUCUUUUACUUUCUCUGUGAUUACUUUCGAGCAAAGCAUACAUAUUUGGGAGUAUAUUUUGUGUGAAUUUGUUGAUAUUUAUUGCUGGCCUCCCUACUUGUGUUGCUUGCGUAAACGUUUUCUUUGAUAACUGUUACUUGUUAAAGUAUUUAUUUAGCUAGUUGAUUUAUUGGUUUACAUUGCUCAUUUGUCUUUCUCCACUUUUUUCUAUCCCAAUUUUUUAUGGUUUAUUUAGCUAGUCAGUUUAUAAUAUUAAUCAUGUAGUGUGACUUAUCUCAUUUAUAAUUAGCUAUUUGCUUUAGUUUUGUUAUUUUUUUCGUGUGGUUUUGUAUUUAUUUAGCUAAUGUUUCGCUGAUAGUAGUUCCCUUCUUCUUUUGGUUGUUUCUUUCUUUUGGUUUGAGCUCUAGUUCAAUUUUUUGCUUUUCUGAGUUUUUUUUCUCACUGGUCUCACAAAAUGCACGGAUUUAAAUAAACUAAGUUCUUUUACUUUCUCUGUCAUUACUUUUGAGCAAGGGAUACAUAUUUGGGAGUAUUUUUGUGUGAAUCUGUUGGUAUUUAUUGCUAUCCUCCCUACUUGUGUUGCUUGCGUAAAUGUUUUCUUUGAUAACUGUUACUUGUUAAAGUGUUGACUUAGCUAGUUGAUUUAUUGGUUUACAUUGCUCAUUUGUCUUUCUCCGCUUUUUUCUAUCACAAUUUUAUACGGUUUAUUUAGCUAGUCAGUUUAUAAUAUUGCUUAUGUAUUAUGACUUAUCUCAUUUAUAAUUAGCUAUUUGAUUUAGUUUUGUGGUUUUUUUUCAUGUGGUUUUGUAUUUAUUUAGCUAAUGUUUCACUGACAGUUCUUUUGGUUUAAGCUCUAGUUCAAUUUUUUGCAUUUCUGAGUUUUUUUUUCUCACAAGUCUCACAAAAUGCACGGAUUUAAAUAAAGUAUGUUCUUUUACUUUCUCUAUGUUCUUUUACUUUCUCUAUGUUCUUUUACUGUCUCUGUCAUUACUUUUGAGCAAAGCAUACAUAUCUGGGAGUAUAUUUUGUGUGAAUUUGUUGGUAUUUAUUGCUGGCCUCCCUACUUGUGUUGCUUGCGUAAACGUUUUCUUUGAUAACUGUUACUUGUUAAAGUAUUUAUUUAGCUAGUUGAUUUAUUGGUUUACAUUGCUCGUUUGUGUUCCUCCACUUUUUUCUAUCACAUUUUUAUACGGUUUGUUUUGCUAGUCAGUUUAUAUUGCUCAUGUAUUAUGACUUAUCUCAUUUAUAAUUAGCUAUUUGAUUUAGUUUUGUGGUUUUUUUCAUGUGGUUUUGUAUUUAUUUAGCUAAUGUUUCACUUACAGUUCCCUUCUUCUUCUUUUGGUUUAAGCUCUAGCUCAAUAUUUUGCAUUUCUGAGUUUUUUUUCUCACUAGUCUCACAACGUGCACGGAUUUAAAUUAACUAUGUUCUUUUACUUUCUCUGUCAUUACUUUGGAGCAAAGCAUAUAUAUUUGGGAGUAUUUUUGUGUGAAUUUAUUGGUAUUUAUUGCUGGCCUCCCUACCUUUGUUCCUUGUGUAAACAUUUUCUUUGAUACUGUUACUUGUUAAAGUAUUUAUUUAGCUAGUUGAUUUAUUGGUUUACACUGCUCAUUUGUCUUUCUCCAGGUUUUUCUAUAACAAUUUUAUAUGGUUUAUUUGGUGAGUCAGUAUAUAUUGCUCAUGUAUUAUGAAUUAUCUCAUUUAUAAUUAACUAUUUGAUUUAGUUUUGUGUUUUUUCUGAUGUGGUUUUGUACAGGAGAAUGACUACCCAAAUUUCACAUAUCAACUUCGACAAUUGCAAUUUCAAGUCAAAAAGUGUCAUCCAAAAACCCUUAUUGGAUUCAUUCAAGGAGAAUAUUGAGGAUUUUGUGGAGGACUGUGAUGUUGUCCAAGAAGGGUGUGUAUGGAAAUGGGAGUUCGUUCACAAGGAAGGAUGUAUUAAGAGGACAGUUCCACUCUUCAUUCUCAAAGAGGUAGUGGAUGAUUCAAGACAUAAAUCCGGAGAAGAUCCGUUUUGCAUCUACUGCAGCUACUCAGGAUGCAACAACAAUGUCGUCUCGAGGAGCAAGUAUCACUUCGUAAUUCCAGCGGAUUACGAGUCUUUGGAGCAGCAAUUGGACGAUCCUUUUGACAAGGAUGAUCACGUUUUUAAAGAUCGGACACACCUCUUACAUGGGUUGCUCCACAUCAACGGGAUCGGCCACCUCAUAUGUAUCAAUGGGAUUGAUGGGGGUUCUGCUUUCAUCCCUGGUCGAGACAUCAUGCAUCUAUGGGAUUUACUUUGCCUUUAUUUUCGUGCGAGGUAAUUCUCGUUUUUAUAUUAGUUGUUUCAUAUUUUUGUUACAUAUAAAACAUAUGAAUUGAAUCUGAUUUUGUGAUUUAUAGGAAAAUAACUGUCCGCGAUGAAGCAUGUAAAACAUUUAGGCAUAUCUCAUUGAUAGACGGUGUCCGUGAGACGUGUGAGGGGGCCAUGGUGACUAGGUUGCUGUUCAGUGUGGCUUUUGGUAGUACUUGGUUUGGGAGGUGGGGAUACACGUUUCUACGUGGAAGCUAUGGAGUAUCGAGAGAUACCUACACGACUGCUAUUGAGUCCCUUGGGUCUCAUCCAUUGACUGAGGUUGAAGAAAUUGUAGAAAAAUACAAGAAGAAGUCCCUUACUCCCCUAGAGUGCAUGAAAGAUUUAUUAUCUUUCAUGCUGCAGAUGAGGUGUGGCACGAGAGGCCAAAAGAAAAUGGAUCUAAAUAAAGAUUUGUGGACGGUGUAUGAUAAGGUUUUAAUGAGGAGGAAAAAUCACGUCCAAACCAUCUUGAAUUGCAAAGUCUUUUGCAAGGAAAUCCCGUUGAGGCAAAUGUCAGCUGAAUGUUUAACAGUUACCUUUGUGGUGAGAGAUGCAGAUGACAAUGAGUUGCCGGGAAUGGUUGGCUGCGAGUGUACCACACUCCCCGUAAAUGAUGUGGCUGAUUUAAAGGGUCGAGUUACUCGUUUAAUUCAAGGUACAUAUCAUGCACUCUCCAAUUUCACCAUCACCGAAAUGGAAGGAGAGGGAACGGAUGAAUUGAAAGAGAAUAUGUGGGUGAAGGGUGAUGGGGCAGACAUGGAUUGCAACUAUGUAGCUGAAGGUGGACGGGGAUGGCUAGUGACUUGUAUCUGUGGAGCAGAGGAUGAUGAUGGAGAGGAUAUGGUUGAGUGUGAUACCUGCAAGAAAUGGAAGCACAUCGAGUGCCUCAUUAAUGAUGGUUUUAAACUUGAAGAUAAUGCUGGUUUUAUUUGUUUGGAAUGUUCGACCCCAAGGCAUUGAGGAGAAAAUUGGUAAGAGGUUUCUGAAAUUUCAUUUCACACUUUAUCUGUCUCACAAUGUUUGGUUGUUUGUUUUGAAAGAAAAGGUGCUUUUAUGCAUUUGAUGAUGCCUACAAGAAAUUAAGAUUUGUGAUAUUGCUUUAGCAUCUUCUAAUUGUUUUAUGCUUUAGUCUGGGGGCAUUUGGUUGGGCAGCACAGUUUUACUUAUACGGAGGUUAAUGUUUUCUGUAACAUGCUUUAUUAUUGUUGUGGCCUUUAACCAACUUUGUAGCAUUAAGUGAGCCUUGCUGCAAGCCUUUAAGAAUUUGGCAAUGACCGUUAUUUUUACAGAUUUAAGUGAGUUUGGAUUGUCACUGGUUGAUCAAUUAUGCUGACAAGGGGUGAAUUCCAUUAUUAGCCCAUUUUUGUUUGCUAUCCUAUUUGUCCUGAAACUAUUUUGAUCAACAUGAAUUUGGCAAUGACCAUUAUUUUUACAGAUUUAAGUGAGUUUGGAUUGUCCCUGGUUAAUCGAUUAUGCUGACAACAGGGGGUGAAUUCCAUUAUUAGCCCAUUUUUGUUUGCUAUCCUAUUUGGCGUGAAGAAACUAUUGAUCAACUUUGAGAUUUGUUGAAAAUUUUGUAUUUCUUGUAGUGCAGUUUGCUACAUUUAUAGUCAAUCAUGCUCUCUCUCUCUCUCUCUCUCUCUCUCUCUCUCUCUCUCUCUCUCUCUCUCACACAUACACACAGACCAAAUUUGAUUCACUUGCCAAAUCUUAUAAUGUUAGGAGAUUUGGAAUUUGGUUUUUACAUCAUCCUUCCACCAAUUCAAUGCUUCAUGAGAAGUCAUGCUAAAUGAAUCUUGGAGAAAGCUUUCAUGAACUUAAGUUUAUAGGUUUUUUUGGCUGUUCAUUUUAAUAUAUGACUUCAUUUGUUUUUUUGAAUUGUUCAAGUUUUCUCUAAUCAUUCUUGUUUCAUGGUUACUGAUGUUGAACACUUCAUUCUCAAAAUUGAUGAGUAUAUAGAUUAACACGACAUAAACUUACAUUCAAUUCCAACAAAGGACUUUGGUUGAUGUAUGUUUUCUUGGUGAAGAAUAAAGUAGAUACAGUGGAACUUGCUUGGACUCUUGGGUAGAAAUUUGCAACACCUAGUAUCAGCUGACUUGUUAUCAUGUUGCAUCCUGUUCCUUGAUCAAAACACGUUGUAUGUGCUAUGCAGCUGGCUAACUGGAUGUAGCAUCGCAUUCCUUAUUGUUUUCGUUGCAAGUUACUAAAUUGUCACAUAUCCUCUUUGUUGCCUUGCAGAUGUGUGUGUGGCAUGCAUAAGUACUUGUAAAUUGUUUCCUUGCAGCAUAAAUAUGCUAGGCUGCUUAUUUGUCGUAACAUGAUUUGAUUUAAUUAAUGGCAGGAACGGCAUGGUGGAGUCGCUGAGUGUGCAGGGAUUCUUGUUUGGAGACUCUCAUUGCAUAAUUGACUAAACUUAGUUCUGUACUUUUAAUUAGAAGAUUGGUCCAUACUGUACGCUUGAAUAUGUUGGAUUAGCGAGCCAGGAUGCAUCUUGUAGUUGUCUAGUUUGUUGUUUGUUUUUACGUUACCUUGUCGCAUGAGGCAUCAAUGGCUCAUUUGUUGCAAGCUACAUUUAUAAUUGUAUUAGCACUACCCCUUAGUCACAAGUUGUUAAACCUUCGUAUUUUGGCUCUUGAUCUGGUCUACGCAUGAAUGCAAAGUAUGCAGCCAUUAGUUGGUUGACGAUCAAAAGCAUAUGGUGCAGCCAAUGAAUUCUGGAAAGAUCGAUCUCUGUAGAGAGUGAAUGUUUUGUUAUUUUUCUUCUUUUCAUUUUGUUAAUGGAAAUUUCUGUAGAGCCAGAGCAAUUUGUUAAGAACAAUAGACUAUAUUCAACUUGUUAAGAACAAUUGACAGAGGAGGCAAAGAAACUCAAGGAUGCAAUGACGCAUGAAAACCGUUGGACAUUAACAACGAGCCAUUGCGCAUCACAGACCGCUGGACAGAUUGUCUCAUUUAUGAAAUAAUGUCACACUUUGUUGUCGACAUUACAGUAUUUGAAUAUGCAAGUUCCUUUCAAGAUUUAGGGAACAUAAUUCAAUAAAAACAAAACAAAAAACAAAAAUGGUACACAAUACAAGCAAGCCCCAAGAGUUGGGUCCUGGUCUCGUUCCGUUUGUCUUUCCUAUAGCACAACAGUUAGGCUGAUGUAGUAGAUUGUGGAGAUUGAGAGAGAAGGCUGCAAGCUGAAUAUUGCCGAACUUGCCUUCCUCCGUUGCUAGCCUAGAAAAGAAAAUAAAAGGGAAAUUCAAGUAACAGUCUCCGCCAUACACUGCAACAAGACAACGGAAGCACAAACAAGGUGCACUGGUUUGGAUAAGUGAUGAAUAUGUAGUUUCUGCCUUGAGGGAUUUAGGGGUCUGAUCAAGCUGUCAACUUGCUUUGCGAGAUCAUAUCUCGAUAUCUGGGCCACUUCUCGUCUCUCUGGAAACCAGGAAGAACAGAUCUAAAUUGAGGAGCACUAGUGCAUUCCAAACAGCAGCAUCCUCUUAAAUCUUAACCUCAUUAUCAUUACAAGGCAUAAUUAGGAAAAAGUAAUGCAUAUACCUUCAUGGCUACGUUUGACAACUAUCAUUGUAGCUAAGGAGACUUGGGUUUUGCUACCAGUUAUAGUCAAUCAUGUUCACCUCUCUCUCUCUCUCUCUCUCUCUCUCUCAGACCAAAUUUGACUCACUUGCCAAAUCUUAUUGUAGUUAUUUAUUUUUCAUUUUGUCAUUAGCAUUAUUAAUUUUUUUGCACACAGAAUAUAUUAUUGUAUUCUAAAAUGGAAAACAAGACCAUGCGAAUCACAUGUCCUUCUUCAUUUUGUCUCCAACUCAUUCAAGAAUCUACAUAUUGGAAGAAAUCAAUCAAGUACCUAAACUGCCAUCCUUGUUCACCACACAAACAUUAUUUCAAUUUCGGAAAAUGUCAGAAAUAAAUAGUAGCAAAUUACAUGCUGCAAAAAGUGUAUCACGUCUGUAGCAAAGAGGAUUAAACAAGUGAAAUUACAAAACAAUUAACUCAGUUCCUGGAGGUAGUUUUUUACCCAUCUGCAAAGCACGCUUUCUUGCUGCCCUCAAUUGUUUCUGGGUUGUAACAAAUUCAGACAAUAGAGUGGAUUCUUCAACGACAACCUUUCUGAGAUCGACGAGAAACGUUUCAAGCGCAACGGCAUUCUCAGUGAAGUACAUGGCAAGCUCAGUGUCGAUACUAGACCCAACGAACCCAGAAAAUUUCACCACCUUAAGGCACUGAUGAGGACAUUUAUUAACCUUCUGCAAAUUCCUCAGACAUGGCACUCGUGC
rnacentral:lncRNA from 1 species